AGAUUAAAGAGCACAAAGUAAAGCACCGGACUGAUUUGUGAGCACAACCCACGUACGUGUGCGAGUAGAUUUGGCUGAAACUGCUCAAGGCCACCUCCGCUGGAUCGAGCGCCAUAAGGCGCUGCUGGGGUCAAGACCUCUCACCACUCACAGAAGACAUGUUUUCAAGAGGAUCAAAAGGCUCCAAGGGGUCAAUUUGGGAGCUUUCCUACUUAUCACACCUACCAUCGAAAAGUAAGUAGGAGUAAGUAGGGUACCACUAUGGAUACAAGCCAAAGGAACCCUUUAAGAACCAGUGUGAGGGUGCACAUAAUGUGAGGACGGAACACCUUCCGCCGGCGAAAUCGCAGCCCGCCCGGGCCGGUCAGCGACGUCAGCGGAGCGCGACGUCAUCUGAUCUCCGCCGUCAACCGCCAUCAACCGCCGUCAACCGCCGUCAACCGCUGUCAACCGCCAUCAACCGCCGUCAACCGCUGUCAACCGCCAAGACCGCCAAGACCGCCAAGACCGCCAAGACCUUCCAUCAGCGGUAUUCCAGUCGACGUUCCUCCCACACACCGGCGGCCUUCUUUACUCGGGCGCGUGUUAUCGUUAGGGACGUCAGCUUGGCAGAGGCGGGAAGAAGAAAUCGGACAUAAAUCAAGCUGACAGCUGCCAAAAACGCCGUGGCCUCGC